rnacentral:rRNA from 1 species
AUUGAACGCUGGCGGCAUGCCUAACACAUGCAAGUCGAACGGCAGCACAGCAGUAGCAAUACUGUGGGUGGCGAGUGGCGGACGGGUGAGGAAUACGUCGGAAUCUGCCCAGUCGUGGGGGAUAACUAGCCGAAAGGUUAGCUAAUACCGCAUACGACCGAGAGGUGAAAGCGGGGGACCGCAAGGCCUCGCGCGAUUGGAUGAGCCGACGUCGGAUUAGCUAGUUGGCGGGGUAAAGGCCCACCAAGGCGACGAUCCGUAGCUGGUCUGAGAGGAUGAUCAGCCACACUGGAACUGAGACACGGUCCAGACUCCUACGGGAGGCAGCAGUGGGGAAUAUUGGACAAUGGGCGCAAGCCUGAUCCAGCAAUGCCGCGUGUGUGAAGAAGGCCUCGGUUGUAAGACACUUUAUUCAGACGAAAAGACGUUGGAGUUAAUACUACUGACGUGCUGACGGUACCGUACGUAGGAAG